CCUACGGGCGGCAGCAGUGGGGAAUAUUGGACAAUGGGGGGAACUCUGAUCCAGCGACGCCGCGUGAGUGAAGACGUAUUUCGGUAUGUAAAGCUCUAUCAGCAGGGAAGAAAGAAAUGACGGUACCUGACUAUGACGCCUAGGCUAACUACGUGCCAGCAGCCGCGGUAAUACGUAGGGGGCAAGCGUUAUCCGGAUUUACUGGGUGUAAGGGGAGCGUAGACGGCGAUGCAAGUCUGAAGUGAAAGGCGGGGGCCCAACCCCCGGACUGCUUUGGAAACUGUAUGGCUGGAGUGCAGGGGAGGUAAGUGGAAUUCCUAGUGUAGCGGUGAAAUGCGUAGAUAUUAGGAGGAACACCGGUGGCGAAGGCGGCUUACUGGACUGUAACUGACGUUGAGGCUCGAAGGCGUGGGUAGCGAACAGGAUUAGAUACCCCAGUAGUC
rnacentral:rRNA from 1 species